UACGAAGGGGGCUAGCGUUGUUCGGAUUUACUGGGCGUAAAGCGCACGUAGGCGGAUUGUUAAGUUAGGGGUGAAAUCCCAAGGCUCAACCUUGGAACUGCCUUUAAUACUGGCAAUCUCGAGUCCGGAAGAGGUGAGUGGAACUCCUAGUGUAGAGGUGGAAUUCGUAGAUAUUAGGAAGAACACCAGUGGCGAAGGCGGCUCACUGGUCCGGUACUGACGCUGAGGUGCGAAAGCGUGGGGAGCAAAC
rnacentral:rRNA from 1 species